rnacentral:rRNA from 1 species
GAUGAACGCUGGCGGCGUGCUUAACACAUGCAAGUCGAACGGAAAGGCUCCUGCUUGCAGGGGUACUCGAGUGGCGAACGGGUGAGUAACACGUGGGUGAUCUGCCCUGCACUUCGGGAUAAGCCUGGGAAACUGGGUCUAAUACCGGAUAGGACGAUGGUUUGGAUGCCAUUGUGGAAAGUUUUUCGGUGUGGGAUGAGCUCGCGGCCUAUCAGCUUGUUGGUGGGGUAAUGGCCUACCAAGGCGUCGACGGGUAGCCGGCCUGAGAGGGUGUACGGCCACAUUGGGACUGAGAUACGGCCCAGACUCCUACGGGAGGCAGCAGUGGGGAAUAUUACACAAUGGGCGCAAGCCUGAUGCAGCGACGCCGCGUGGGGGAUGACGGCCUUCGGGUUGUAAACUCCUUUCGCUAGGGACGAAGCGUUUUGUGACGGUACCUGGAGAAGAAGCACCGGCUAACUACGUG